GGGUUUGGGACUGAUUGUGGAUUUUAUCCUGUGUUGGCUCUAGUAAGCCAGUUUUAAACGGAUGAGCGAUGUGAUUAACUGUGUUUGGGAAGGAUUCCUCUGGCUGUGUGUGAGGGUUAGGCCCGGCUGGGUCUUUGGAGGUAAGGUCGGAGAGGAAGUGGCAGUAAGCACCGUUAGUGCAAUUUGUGGCCGACACGGACAUUCAGCACAGAGCCUGGCACACAGAGGGACUCUGAUAAUAAAGGCUUGAACUGAGCCGAGAAGAUGGAGCCCACGCAGGAGGUGGCAGGACCUGGACCAGGCUUUGGGUGCUUUGCACUGGCAUGACCACUGAGUGACCUUAGACAAGUGCCUUCCCCUGUCCAACUUCCUUUCCCCAUGUGUAUCGUGAAGUGAAUGACACCUCGUCUCCCAAGGGUAGAAGAGGGGACCCUCCACAGGAGGUCUCCAGAAAGAGCUGCUUUGUCAGUCUAGUCUAUCUCCCAUUCAGAGCCUGUCCAGGGCUCCCCAGUGACCCGGACCUCAUGACUUGCCCCCUACUUUUGUAGCUUUAUCAUGCUCUGCUCCUCUU
rnacentral:lncRNA from 10 species